UACGAAGGGGGCUAGCGUUGUUCGGAUUUACUGGGCGUAAAGCGCACGUAGGCGGAUCGUUAAGUCGGGGGUGAAAUCCUGGAGCUCAACUCCAGAACUGCCUUCGAUACUGGCGAUCUUGAGUCCGGAAGAGGUGAGUGGAACUCCUAGUGUAGAGGUGGAAUUCGUAGAUAUUGGGAAGAACACCGGUGGCGAAGGCGGCGACCUGGUCCUUUUACUGACGCUGAGGCGCGAAAGCGUGGGGAGCAAACAGG
rnacentral:rRNA from 1 species